CCGGGGCUAAUACCGGAUAACAUUUUGAACCGCAUGGUUCGAAAUUGAAAUGCUCCUUUAAGAAGAAGGGAGAAUGGAUGUUUUUUUUUUCGCAUUAGCUAGUUGGUGAGGUGACGGCUCACCAAGGCAACGAUGCGUAGCCGACCUGAGAGGGUGAUCGGCCACCCUGGGACUGAGACACGGCCCAGACUCCUACGGGAUGUUUCAGUAGGGAAGCUAGGGGCAGUGGACGAAAGUCUGACGGAGCAACGCCGCGUGCCUGAUGAAGGCUUUCGUUUUUUUUUUUUUUUGUUGUUAGGGAAGAACUAGUGCUAGUUGAAUAAGCUGGCACCUUGUUUGGUAUCUAUUUCAGAAAGCCACGGCUAACUACGUGCCAGCAGCCGCGGUAAUA
rnacentral:rRNA from 1 species